rnacentral:rRNA from 1 species
CGCGGGGGGAGCAAGCGUUGUUCGGAAUCACUGGGCGUAAAGGGCGUGUAGGCGGUCAGGUUAGUGAGAUGUGAAACGCCCCGGCUCACCCGGGGACCUGCAUCUCAAACUGCCUGGCUUGAGUAUGGGAGAGGAUGAGGGAAUUCCUGGUGUAGCGGUGAAAUGCGUAGAUAUCAGGAGGAACACCGGUGGCGAAAGCGCUCAUCUGGCCCAAUACUGACGCUGAGGCGCGAAAGCUAGGGGAGCAAACGGG